rnacentral:rRNA from 1 species
UACGGGGGGAGCAAGCGUUGUUCGGAUUUACUGGGCGUAAAGGGCGCGUAGGCGGCCAGCACAAGUCAGUUGUGAAAUCUCCGAGCUUAACUCGGAAAGGUCAACUGAUACUGUGCGGCUAGAGUGCGGAAGGGGCAACUGGAAUUCUUGGUGUAGCGGUGAAAUGCGUAGAUAAUCGAAGAGGAACACCUGCGGCGAAGGCGG